rnacentral:rRNA from 1 species
GGGUUGUGAGGUUAAGCGACUAAGCGUACACGGUGGAUGCCCUGGCAGUCAGAGGCGAUGAAGGACGUGCUAAUCUGCGAUAAGCGUCGGUAAGGUGAUAUGAACCGUUAUAACCGGCGAUUUCCGAAUGGGGAAACCCAGUGUGUUUCGACACACUAUCAUUAACUGAAUCCAUAGGUUAAUGAGGCGAACCGGGGGAACUGAAACAUCUAAGUACCCCGAGGAAAAGAAAUCAACCGAGAUUCCCCCAGUAGCGGCGAGCGAACGGGGAGCAGCCCAGAGCCUGAAUCAGUGUGUGUGUUAGUGGAAGCGUCUGGAAAGGCGCGCGAUACAGGGUGACAGCCCCGUACACAAAAAUGCACAUGCUGUGAGCUCGAUGAGUAGGGCGGGACACGUGGUAUCCUGUCUGAAUAUGGGGGGACCAUCCUCCAAGGCUAAAUACUCCUGACUGACCGAUAGUGAACCAGUACCGUGAGGGAAAGGCGAAAAGAACCCCGGCGAGGGGAGUGAAAAAGAACCUGAAACCGUGUACGUACAAGCAGUGGGAGCCUCUUUAUGGGGUGACUGCGUACCUUUUGUAUAAUGGGUCAGCGACUUAUAUUCUGUAGCAAGGUUAACCGAAUAGGGGAGCCGAAGGGAAACCGAGUCUUAACUGGGCGUUAAGUUGCAGGGUAUAGACCCGAAACCCGGUGAUCUAGCCAUGGGCAGGUUGAAGGUUGGGUAACACUAACUGGAGGACCGAACCGACUAAUGUUGAAAAAUUAGCGGAUGACUUGUGGCUGGGGGUGAAAGGCCAAUCAAACCGGGAGAUAGCUGGUUCUCCCCGAAAGCUAUUUAGGUAGCGCCUCGUGAAUUCAUCUCCGGGGGUAGAGCACUGUUUCGGCAAGGGGGUCAUCCCGACUUACCAACCCGAUGCAAACUGCGAAUACCGGAGAAUGUUAUCACGGGAGACACACGGCGGGUGCUAACGUCCGUCGUGAAGAGGGAAACAACCCAGACCGCCAGCUAAGGUCCCAAAGUCAUGGUUAAGUGGGAAACGAUGUGGGAAGGCCCAGACAGCCAGGAUGUUGGCUUAGAAGCAGCCAUCAUUUAAAGAAAGCGUAAUAGCUCACUGGUCGAGUCGGCCUGCGCGGAAGAUGUAACGGGGCUAAACCAUGCACCGAAGCUGCGGCAGCGACGCUUAUGCGUUGUUGGGUAGGGGAGCGUUCUGUAAGCCUGUGAAGGUGUGCUGUGAGGCAUGCUGGAGGUAUCAGAAGUGCGAAUGCUGACAUAAGUAACGAUAAAGCGGGUGAAAAGCCCGCUCGCCGGAAGACCAAGGGUUCCUGUCCAACGUUAAUCGGGGCAGGGUGAGUCGACCCCUAAGGCGAGGCCGAAAGGCGUAGUCGAUGGGAAACAGGUUAAUAUUCCUGUACUUGGUGUUACUGCGAAGGGGGGACGGAGAAGGCUAUGUUGGCCGGGCGACGGUUGUCCCGGUUUAAGCGUGUAGGCUGGUUUUCCAGGCAAAUCCGGAAAAUCAAGGCUGAGGCGUGAUGACGAGGCACUACGGUGCUGAAGCAACAAAUGCCCUGCUUCCAGGAAAAGCCUCUAAGCAUCAGGUAACAUCAAAUCGUACCCCAAACCGACACAGGUGGUCAGGUAGAGAAUACCAAGGCGCUUGAGAGAACUCGGGUGAAGGAACUAGGCAAAAUGGUGCCGUAACUUCGGGAGAAGGCACGCUGAUAUGUAGGUGAAGUCCCUCGCGGAUGGAGCUGAAAUCAGUCGAAGAUACCAGCUGGCUGCAACUGUUUAUUAAAAACACAGCACUGUGCAAACACGAAAGUGGACGUAUACGGUGUGACGCCUGCCCGGUGCCGGAAGGUUAAUUGAUGGGGUCAGCGCAAGCGAAGCUCUUGAUCGAAGCCCCGGUAAACGGCGGCCGUAACUAUAACGGUCCUAAGGUAGCGAAAUUCCUUGUCGGGUAAGUUCCGACCUGCACGAAUGGCGUAAUGAUGGCCAGGCUGUCUCCACCCGAGACUCAGUGAAAUUGAACUCGCUGUGAAGAUGCAGUGUACCCGCGGCAAGACGGAAAGACCCCGUGAACCUUUACUAUAGCUUGACACUGAACAUUGAGCCUUGAUGUGUAGGAUAGGUGGGAGGCUUUGAAGUGUGGACGCCAGUCUGCAUGGAGCCGACCUUGAAAUACCACCCUUUAAUGUUUGAUGUUCUAACGUUGGCCCCUAAUCGGGGUUGCGGACAGUGUCUGGUGGGUAGUUUGACUGGGGCGGUCUCCUCCUAAAGAGUAACGGAGGAGCACGAAGGUUGGCUAAUCCUGGUCGGACAUCAGGAGGUUAGUGCAAUGGCAUAAGCCAGCUUGACUGCGAGCGUGACGGCGCGAGCAGGUGCGAAAAGCAGGUCAUAGUGAUCCGGUGGUUCUGAAUGGAAGGGCCAUCGCUCAACGGAUAAAAGGUACUCCGGGGAUAACAGGCUGAUACCGCCCAAGAGUUCAUAUCGACGGCGGUGUUUGGCACCUCGAUGUCGGCUCAUCACAUCCUGGGGCUGAAGUAGGUCCCAAGGGUAUGGCUGUUCGCCAUUUAAAGUGGUACGCGAGCUGGGUUUAGAACGUCGUGAGACAGUUCGGUCCCUAUCUGCCGUGGGCGCUGGAGAACUGAGGGGGGCUGCUCCUAGUACGAGAGGACCGGAGUGGACGCAUCACUGGUGUUCGGGUUGUCAUGCCAAUGGCACUGCCCGGUAGCUAAAUGCGGAAGAGAUAAGUGCUGAAAGCAUCUAAGCACGAAACUUGCCCCGAGAUGAGUUCUCCCUGACUCCUUGAGAGUCCUGAAGGAACGUUGAAGACGACGACGUUUAUAGGCCGGGUGUGUAAGCGCAGCGAUGCGUUGAGCUAACCGGUACUAAUGAACCGUGAGGCUUAACCUUACAACGCCGAAG